UUUAAGUCUCCUGAAGGAACGUUGAAGACGACGACGUAGAUAGGCCGGGUGUGUAAGCGCAGCGAUGCGUUGAGCUAACCGGUACUAAUGAACCGUGAGGCUUAACCUU
rnacentral:rRNA from 1 species